rnacentral:rRNA from 1 species
UAGGGAAUCUUCGGCAAUGGACGAAAGUCUGACCGAGCAACGCCGCGUGAGUGAAGAAGGUUUUCGGAUCGUAAAACUCUGUUGUUAGAGAAGAACAAGGACGUUAGUAACUGAACGUCCCCUGACGGUAUCUAACCAGAAAGCCACGGCUAACUACGUGCCAGCAGCCGCGGUAAUACGUAGGUGGCAAGCGUUGUCCGGAUUUAUUGGGCGUAAAGCGAGCGCAGGCGGUUUCUUAAGUCUGAUGUGAAAGCCCCCGGCUCAACCGGGGAGGGUCAUUGGAAACUGGGAGACUUGAGUGGAGAAGAGGAGAGUGGAAUUCCAUGUGUAGCGGUGAAAUGCGUAGAUAUAUGGAGGAACACCAGUGGCGAAGGCGGCUCUCUGGUCUGUAACUGACGCUGAGGCUCGAGAGCGUGGGGAGCAAACAGG